AUUGAACGCUGGCGGCAUGCCUUACACAUGCAAGUCGAACGGUAACGCGGGGCAACCUGGCGACGAGUGGCGAACGGGUGAGUAAAGUAUCGGAACGUGCCCAAUAGUGGGGGAUAGCCCGGCGAAAGCCGGAUUAAUACCGCAUGAGACCUGAGGGUGAAAGCGGGGGACUCGCAAGAGCCUCGCGCUGUUGGAGCGGCCGAGUAUCAGAUUAGGUAGUUGGUGGGGUAAAGGCCUACCAAGCCGACGAUCUGUAGCUGGUCUGAGAGGACGACCAGCCACACUGGGACUGAGACACGGCCCAGACUCCUACGGGAGGCAGCAGUGGGGAAUUUUGGACAAUGGGCGCAAGCCUGAUCCAGCCAUGCCGCGUGCGGGAAGAAGGCCUUCGGUU
rnacentral:rRNA from 1 species